UUUUUUUUUUGUUUUUGUUUUUUUGUUUUGUUUUGUUUUUGUUUUUGUUUUUUUUUUGAGACAGGGUUUCUCUGUAUAGCCCUGGCUGUCCUGGAACUCACUUAGUAGACCAGGCUGGCCUCGAACUCAGAAAUCCACCUGCCUCCUGAGUGCUGGGAUUAAAGGUGUGCGUCACCACUCCCGGCUGAGGUGUUGUUUUUCUAAUUAAUGACUUGACUCGUAGUUCAAGCCCCCUGCAAAUAGAAAAAAUGGUGUAUAGGGAGGUAGGUUUGACUGGACUGUAAAUCCCGCGGAUGGGAUAUGCUUAAAGGAUCUGAAAAAAAAUGCUUUUUAAAUAAAUGCAGCAAUGGCCUUGAGAGAUGGCUUGGCAGCUCAGAGCUCAGAAGACCAGAGUCUGGUUCCCCGUGCCACGUCAUAGCUGCAGUCCAGUUCUAGAAGAGCCAUCCAACCAACGCCCUCUUCUUACCUCUGUAGGUUCCAAGCGUGUAUGUGACACAGACAUACAUACUGGCAAAACACUCAUACACGUAAAAGCAAAUCCUUAAAAAAAAAUAUGAACUCUGUAUCUAUAGAUCAUUUUAGGGCUGUUAAAUUUUUUUAAUAGUCGGAGAUGAGAUGGUACACUCCUAUAAUACCAGUCUGAGGCAGGAGAAUUGCCAUUAAUUCUAAGACAGCCUGACACACAUACAUACACACACUCAUGCAUGUGUGUGUGUGCUGCACACUCUGUUUCAGAAAACAAAAAAUAGUAAUAAUUAAGCCCAGCUGGCUAAUAGGAAGUUCUGCUUUUAUAGAAAACAGUUGGGUGAGGAAAUGUGGUAUUAAUAUUCUUUCAUUAUCCCUCUUGGUCAGCAGUCUGAAUCACAAGGCCAAAUUGCCGGAGAGAAAAAUGAGUUCUCAAUUGUGUGAAAAUCAUCUAAAUACUAUUAUUUAUCAUGCUAGGUUCCAGACCAGCCCCAGACAGUUGGUUUGGUGUGUCACAGAUGUCCCCAGGUUCACAGAUUUGAAAACUUGACUGUCUCCCAGACCUAUAAAGUGACAGUAAGGCGUAUGUGUCCAAAGUAUUCCCAAACAAGCCUAGACAUACCGUCUUAGUCUUUUAUUUACUUCUUUCUUUUAGGAUUGAUUUUUAGGAAGCAAGCCUGUUGAUACACGCAUUUGAUCCCAGCACUUGGGAAGCAGAGGCAGGCAGAUUUCUGAGUUCAAGGCCAGCCUGGUGUACUGAGUGAGUUCCAGGACAGCCAGGGAUACACAGAGAAACCCUGUCUCAAAAAAAAAAACAACAACAACAACAACAAAAAAAACAAAGGGGGAAAAAAAGAUUGAUUAUUCUUAUUUACAUGUGUGUGUGAGUACAUACCGUGUGUGCUGAUGCCAGUGCAGGCCAGAAGGGUGUGUCAGACCCCCACAGAGCUGAAGUUAUAUAUAGGUGGUGGCGAGCCUCUUCAUGUGGCUGUUAGAAGCUGAACUCAGGUCUUAGUUCAGUUCCUAAAAUAAAAAGUGUUCUUAACCACUGAGCCAUCUCUCCAGCCUGGAUUUAUUAUUUUUUAUGUGUACAUUUGUGUGUGUGUGUGUGUGUGUAGUGUAUGUGUUGCGUGUGUGCCAUAGCAUGCCGGUAAAGGUCAGAGGAGUCAAUUUCUCUUACCAUGUGGGCUCUGGUGGCGAACUCUUGAUUGGCAGCAAGUAUCUCUACCCACUGAGACAUCUGUCUAACCUAUUCUAAUCGUCAAGGG
rnacentral:lncRNA from 1 species